AAGCACGAGACUAGUCGAGUGGAGUACGGCUCAGUAUCUGGUCACUCAUUAUACGCUGGCCACCACCACCGCUCAUGUGCUCUGGGUAGUUGGGUGAUCGGUAAUUUGGGCUCAAGCAUAUUUGUACGCUAUAUACCUGGUCUCUCUCGAUCUAGAGUAUGUAUGUUUGUUGUAUACUUUUCCAAACUGCUGGAAAACUCGCGCUCUGCAACUUGAUAAAGCCUUUGAACUCACGAGUGUGAGGCCAAUAGGAAUUUAAUUGGAGUAAUUCAAAAUAAAAAUAAAAAUUUCAACAAAUAAAUAAUAUACUGCACUCUUCAAGCAUUACAGCAAACAAUUUUACUCGUAAAUAUAAUAUAAGCAGUUAUAAAUUAAACUCAGUAAUUAAAAUUAUUUUUGUCAGUGUACACAAUGUUUAGAAAGUACGUAAUGAUCGCAAGCGCUGAGCAAUGAUUACAAUCUCAAGCGUGAGAGUAAAUAUAAAUGAGCGCUUUGUGGAAAAAUACACACAGGCACACAACUAUUUGACUAUGAGUAAAAGGCGAACAAGGCGUAGAUUUGUAUGUAUGCGUGUAUCUAUGAGAUACAUUCUAAAAACAAGCAAAGUUAAUGACGAACUGAAAGAUACAACAACCCAACAGUGGUGGAUGACAAGUCGUAACUGGAAAUAUUGUAGUGGUUGAAGCACGAUUAAGAGCAAAUCUCGUACACGAAAUUUCAGCGGUAAUUGUUUGAAUGCAAGUAUCUAAACACUUUCUAAGUGCAUACAUAUGUUACAUUUGCCACUUACUUAUGCAUAUACUUUUGAAACAUAAAUUGCAGUGAUAUUGUAAAUAAUUUAGGUUGUGUGUACGUACUUGAGUUCAAGCCUUAAAAAGACAUUAAAUUAUGACUACAUAAAUAAUUACUACACGUUUGCUUUUGACUCUAUAUGGUUUGCAUUAAUUACUACUAAUCAGGAGAUUUGCGAAAGCAGGCACACACUUUAGAGUAGAAUCUUUCCAGCAUUGUUAUUGAUGAUUCUGCUUAGUUUUCAUGUCGCAAAGGAUUCAGAAUGCUUUGAUUUUAGCCGCUAUGCAAAUAGAGAAAUAUAUACUCGUAUAAAUGUAAGCAUAUCAAGGUUCCAACACUAAAUAUUCUUAAUUUCAGUUAAGUACAUUUAUCGUGGCCAUCUAAAGGGUCCAUGCAUGAGCUUCUGUAACCUUCAGUAGCGCGUUCUUUAAGAAUUAUAACACUACAAAAUCAACUGUCAAAUUAACAGUCAGAUUUUUGCCAAAAAACUACAAUAUUCGUCUACGAUUCACCACUUUUCUAUUUACUACAUUUAAGCCCUGAUCUCUUUUCAAUAAAUGUAUUCCCGCUUAUGACAGGGACUUCUUCGAUUCGGCAAUCAACAAGCUUUACUGUAUCAAAGGCAGCUAAUAGUAUAAAAAUCAGUUUUCUUCAAAUCACACAAAUUGCUUAAGACCAAGGGUUUUAGCGUCCAUGGCCGUUUUGGCGAUAAAUAGUGUGGAGAAGGCACUACAUGUCGAUAGCUUUUUCAUGUCGGGAAAGGCCUCAGUACUCAAGUUUUACUCAAUUGUAAUAUGCGAUUUUUCGAUGUAUUCUAUAGUUAUCCUAACGCAAGAGAUUAACAUGCCACUAAAGUCAAAAAUAUAUUAAAUAAUUUGUUAAAUUCGAAAAAUUGA